CCUACGGGCGGCUGCAGUCGAGAAUUAUUCACAAUGGGGGAAACCCUGAUGGUGCGACGCCGCGUGGGGGAAUGAAGGUCUUCGGAUUGUAAACCCCUGUCAUGUGGGAGCAAAUUAAAAAGAUAGUACCACAAGAGGAAGAGACGGCUAACUCUGUGCCAGCAGCAGCGGUAAUACAGAGGUCUCAAGCGUUGUUCGGAAUCACUGGGCGUAAGGCGUGCGUAGGCUGUUUCGUAAGUCGUGUGUGAAAGGCGCGGGCUCAACCCGCGGACGGCACAUGAUACUGCGAGACUAGAGUAAUGGAGGGGGAACCGGAAUUCUCGGUGUAGCAGUGAAAUGCGUAGAUAUCGAGAGGAACACUCGUGGCGAAGGCGGGUUCCUGGACAUUAACUGACGCUGAGGCACGAAGGCCAGGGGAGCGAAAGGGAUUAGAUACCCCGGUAGUC
rnacentral:rRNA from 1 species